AUUUUUUAAUUUUUACUCUUUAAAUUCCUUAAGGGCUUGUUUGGUAGCUGUUUUGUUUUGGUGUUUUUGUUGUAGGGCUUUAUUUCAGGCCCAAAAACAUGUUUGGUAGCUAUUGUUUUGCUUUAAACAGUACUAAAACAUUGUCAAAAUUUGGGCCAAAAAGUGAAACACCAAAAUGAUGUUUCUUCUUGUUUCAAUACUGUUGGCCCAAUAAAAGCACUGUAGCGGAGGAAGUAAGUUAGGCCAAUCACUGUAGCGGAUGAAACAACUGUAAAAGCGACUUGCAACAAUCGACGCGAAAUUUUCUCUCCUCUAAAACCCUAGAGUCUGGCGAUUUGGGAGGCGACCCAAACGUACCUCGCGAUAUUGAAGAGUGUAAGUCCUUUGAAGCCCUAAAACAUUCUAUAAUAGAUUACGAGGGGAGGCAAUUAGUUUUCUCUUUUGCAGUUGUGUGAGGCGAUUUGAGAGGCGAUUAGUUUUCUGUCUCUGUAUUCAGCGUUAGAAGGAAGGCCCAAUCUUUCACUCUGUUCUCUCCCUCUCAAAAUGAAGACGAUGCCCUAGUUUUUUAACGUUAGAUUGUAGGCUCAAUCUUUCACUUUCUUAAAAUAUUAUCCAGUUUGCACUUUCUUUCAUGGCGAUGUUGAUUUUUUAUUUUUAUUUUUCAAUUUCUCCAUUUCUGGGUUUUAGUUGAAUUUGGAUUUGUUCAACCCAGAUUUCAAUUUCUCCAUUUAUUUUUAACUUCUAUUUCUCUCCAUGAAUUCAUGAAUUAAUCAGGAAUUCAAUUACGGAAGCCAUUGAUUUGAUAAAUACCAUUUUGGGGAUGUAUUAAUCUGUACCCAAAUAUUUAUAUCAUUGCUACAAAAUUAAAUUUUGAGUCCUGAGCAUUUAACUUUAAUAAUUAAGUGUUUUUACAUAUUCAAGGACAAGUCCAAGUGCAAGUCUCGAAGGCGAAAUUGGCUACCGAAUUGAAAAAUCAAAGUAAUGUUGCAGAACCUUGGAAUCAGGCUGCAAAAUCUUGUGAGCCUCCAAAUGGUCAAGGUGAACCUCUUGUGGUUGCUAUUAAAAAACUUUAAUAAGCAUUACUUGCAGGACAUAUUGCUAACAUGGUGAUUGCGCCUAAUAUGUGAAGAAUUGUAGCAUUAGUUUUUACAUAUCAAAGGUAAAAAGCUUUAGUUCUUUCCUUCUCAGUUGAAUGAUUGUUGUGCUUGUUAUUUCUUUGUUGAUCUAAUACUACGACAUUGUAAAUUUGGCUUUAGGAUCUAAUUGGCAUCUGAAAUAUAUAAAAUUCAGGAGAAAAUGUCAUGAAAACUUGAGUUGGUGUGGAUGGAAAAUUUUGGUAACAUGACUAAAAAAAUUAAUGUUUUUUACUAUUAUCCAUUUCUGAUCAAGUGUAUGCAGGUUCUUGGAGUAGAAGAUUGGAGACAGAUAAAUUUUGGUAUUACUUUUGCACAAAGUGGCUGCUCUCACACUAGAACCCAUAUUAUUGCACUUGUCAAUCCAAAACUUUACUUUAGAUUUAAUGAGUUUUACCCUAAUUUAGGUUGAAGCAGGAGUUAUCAUUGUUUGAGAAUUAUGUUAGGUUGUAUAUUUCAUUGCAUUUUACAUUAUCUGAUGCGUCAUCAUACUUUUCUGAAUUGUCACAAACUAAUAAUUGUUUGGUUCAUUUGUUUUGGUGAUGACUCCAUCUUAUCUCCAUCAUGAUGCUUAGUUCAAACUAUAUAGCAUUACCUAAAAUGCUAUAGAAAUAGAAAGGAACAGAUUUUGUUGUGGAGUUAAAGUCACGGGUUGAGAAUAAAUACCAUGUUUGAUUAGGUAUUAUUCACUAUAUUCGGAUGGAAGUUGAUGAUGUUGUUUGUAGUAAUGACAAAUAAAAGGUACAUUUGAUGUGUGUCCGGGACUUUGGAUGACCAAUAGUGAUGGGAUUAUUUUAUUCUGUUUCCAUGGAAUUUGAAGGCGCAUAAUUUUUUAAUAUGGAGUUGUUCUAGAAAAUUGAGUGCUUGGGAUUUACAUACUUUUGGAACAAGGUAAUGCCAUUGUUUUAGCUUUGAAAUAACCGUAUUUCAUCACAUGUGCAGAGGAUUGUAUUUCUAGCUAGCAUUGUCUAAUUGCCUGACCUUGCUGCUGUGUACUACAAUUGCUUUGUCUAAUCUUCUUCGUGUGCUUGGCUGUGCAUGUGUUUGGUUGCUGCUGUGUACUGGGAUUGAGCUUGAGCUUGAGCUUGGGGUCAUUUUCUCAAAUUUACAACUAGGUUCAUUGAUCCUUGUUUGGAGUGAAUUGGACUUGUGAAUUGUGACUUGUACUUCCCAUUGCCAACAUGUUGUUAUCAGUGCCUUGUUAUUUUAGAAAGUAGUUCAAAUAACUAGUACAAUGUGUAAACUGUGUAUUGAUGGAUGUGUUUCAGAUCAGUGGCAAUGUAAAGUUCAGAUUAGUGCACAAUAUGCCGACAAUGUUGUAAAUUUAUUUUUCAGAAAGCAGUUCAAAUAACUAGUACAAUGUAUUUUUCAGAUUAUUGUAAUUUUUUUUUUUUUGGUGUUU